UUCCCUUCCUCACACCACAAUUCUCUCACCUAGAUUUCUGCAACGUUUUCUGUCUGGUAUUCUUUUCUUACCACUCUCCAACUGAUUUCCAGUCCACCAUCAGAACCAGUUUCCUAAACCGAAAAUAUAAUCCUAAAACUGCGCUCCUCAGAAUUCCUCCAGCGCUUCUUUGCCCCUCCGCACAGAGGAAGAAGAAAGAGAUCCACACCUCUGUGACACCCCUACUCCCAUCGCGUGUCCUCCCAGAAGUUGUGUUGGCAGCCUGGUCCUCAGUCCAGUGCCCAGAGGGAAGUCCUCAGGACAAGCACGGUGUGGUUUGGAGAGAUUAAAAUAUACCUCAUGGGACCUGCUUAGCACUCAAGAGAAGGUUGCUACAAAAGCCAGUGCCUGGCCGCACCAGUGUCUCUGACUUCCUGUUUCAAGAUGUAUCUUUCCUCCUACAUGUACUCCUUGGGGCCCUGUCCAGAGUCUGCUCUAUACUUCUUGGACAUUUAUCCUCUAAAAUUGUGAACUGAGUAAGACUUUCCUCUUUUUGUGCCUUCCUCAGGUAAUAAUUGUGAUGAAAUAUGGAUUAAUACAACAUUAAAUUAAGGCUCCUGAUCAGCUUGAUGUGGAGUUCAUCAAAAGGAGAUAGAUGAUCCAAGAAGGGCCUGCCCAGUUGAGUGAUCCUUUAAGAGAGGGCUAUUCCUCUCCUGAGCUCAGAGGCUCUGGAAAGCUGAGAUUCUCUUUCCUGUUGGUCCUGAAAGAACAAACCACCAUCUACAAACCAAAGGAAAUACAUUUUGCCAGCAUUCAAAGGAAUUUGCAAGAAGACCCCGAGUCUCAGUGCUGCCUGUUUAUGGAAUUCCAGAAGGUGAGAGCUGUGCCAGGAGAAGAAGGUGAAACUGGCUCUGCCUUCAGGGAGAUGCUGGCAGCUGUGAGAACUACAGGAUGAAGCAUCUGAAACCCAGCAUGUGCUAAGCCUGGAGCUGGAUGUGUUAGGGCUGGGGCACAGAGUGCCAGAGAGCGUUUGGUGAUCCUAACGUCUUCAGUAGUGUACUUCCUUUCUUGGAUGAAAUGUAGAAAGCAGUUCUGGCAUAGAUGUUCUGACUAAAUGAAAGGACCUAGCACAAACACCACUGCAGCGGAUGUGCCCUCAAUUCCCUCCCUGGGUCUUCUGAAGGGACCCUGGGUCUCUGGGAAGACGCAUCAGGUUUAUGGACCUUGCACUUCCACAGAGGUGUGGCAAGUGCACUGUGGCUGGUGGGGAGAAGAGCCCUAUAAGAGUAUGCAUCCUCUCUGCCUGUCUGCAGGGCUCUGAGGCACACAUCAAGAACAGACACUGCUGUCUUGUUUCCAACUGUUCCUCCACUAGGCUUGCAGCUGGUGGAUGUCAGAACUGUCUCUGGU